rnacentral:sRNA from 1 species
UACAGAUUUGGCAAAAGCCCGGUGUCUU